AGAUGUGCGGGAGUGAUGUGCGAUUUCUUGUGUCCCCUACUUUCCAUGUUUACGUUUUGCGCAGUGUUGCUUCUUAUUCCAUUGUGGAAUGAUUUAUCCUAGCUAACUUGUUGAGUUACAGGUGCAUGCGCCAUUCAUCAACGCCUACCUGUUGGCAUCAUCAACAAUCUUCAAAGUGGGUGACGGAAAGAAAUUGUUUUCCAGUUUUAAAAUAUUAAGCGUUCAGCACAACUCAGCCACAAAACAACGCACUGGAUUACGCUAAGAACCUGUCAAAACGCGCGCAGCCCCCGGGCGCGGUAGGAAAAAGGAAGAACGAGAGGAGGAAAAAAUAAAGCCAGCGCUCAGCUCUGAUGGUACCCCGGACGCGGUAAGGAGAAAAAAGAUCGAGAGGAGGAAGAACGGUAAAUUUGGAAGGGGGAGACCGUUCUGCCGUCUACACAGUGUGAGUAUGCCAAAGCACGUGUUGGAACGGAGAGAAAAUGUGUGGAAUAAACUGCAUGCGAAUGUGUGCAUACACCAAAUGUAAACAUGUGUGCCUCAUCAUUUCUAUAAGCAAUCCGAAAAGGUGGUGGAGCAAACACAUUGGUAUGCAUGAGGUGCAGAAAAAAUCAGAGCGUGAUAGUAUGUGUGAACGCGAUCGUUCGGGUGGAAGGUGUCUAUGUGUGCGUGAAACCACAUUUCCACUUCUACUGCAAGUGGGUACGUAAGUGGGUACAUAUGUGU